UACGUAGGGGGCAAGCGUUGUCCGGAUUUAUUGGGCGUAAAGAGCGUGUAGGCGGCCUGAAAGGUCAGCUGUGAAAACUCGAGGCUCAACCUCGAGACGUCGGUUGAAACCAUCUGGCUAGAGUCCGGAAGAGGAGAGUGGAAUUCCCGGUGUAGCGGUGAAAUGCGCAGAUAUCGGGAAGAACACCCGUGGCGAAGGCGGCUCUCUGGGAUGGUACUGACGCUGAGGCGCGAAAGCGUGGGGAGCAAACAGG
rnacentral:rRNA from 1 species